AGGCGCAUUCCGCUGCUGCUACAGGAAGGCAUGUGCCCCACCCCAGCUAUCAUAAACAGUGCUGCUGUGAUCAUUCUUGUUCAGGCUUCCUGGUGCACAUGAGAAAAAGUUUCUCUAGAGGAAAACUGCUUGGCCAUAAGGAACACCAAUUUUGACAGUGGCCCGGAAUGAGAGUGCCUUUUUGGAAGCCUUGGCGUCCAGCAGAGAAAUGCCAGCACAUCUCUGGAGAACAAAACAAAACAAAACAAAAUCAGGAUUGGAUGCACUGAAGAGCUUAAGAAGAGCAAUUUAAUUUUACCCACAUCACCCCUCCCCAAGGUAGCACACCUCAGUGCAAAGAAAGACCUUCUCUGCCGGCGAUUUCACCCACCAGGGAAAGUGAGAGCAUGUGAGCGAGCUCCUGGCUUUCCCAGCUGUGCC
rnacentral:lncRNA from 1 species